rnacentral:lncRNA from 1 species
UCUUCACCAAAAAAGAGGCGCCUGCUAACUCCCGGCGCAUCGACGUCGAACCCAUGUCCACGCACCGAUGUCGUUCUGACGUGCUGAGGCACUGGCUGCGGAGGCAAGGCUCGCUCCAACGGAUGAAGGAUCGGUUCUGUCGUUUGAAGUCCAAAUGCCCUCAGGAUCGUGCACAGUUGGCCCAACGUCCUUGUCACUUGAGAGGGUGAGUUCUGUUUCGUUUCUUUUGUCAUCCCUUGCACGCUCUCGAGCCGAACGAGGGGCGAGUGCAGCAAAAGCGGUGUCGUCCGUCGUCGCAUUCUCUGUCGCUCCUCCGGGGCCUUCCUCCGAAUCGCCUGCGACUGUGGUCACAACCAACUUAGGGACAACUUUCCGGUUUUCUCGCCCUUGACGGAAGUCACUGGGGCCGUCCUUGGCUCCUUGCCUCGCCACCUCCACUCGCGGAUGUAACUCGAAUGCCGGGGCAUCGUCGCUUAAAGAGUGCCGUUGGACGUUGCUUUCUCUGGUGGCUAGCCAGUCACCCGCUUGGAUCAUCGGCGAACUGGAUAGUCUCCCUUCGAACUGAGGAACAUCUUUCGCGGAGAAGGGAAAAUCAGCAUAGUAGCGCAUGUGGUUACGGGCGGGGUCCAGCCGCCCUUGCUCAAACGGCAACGGCGGAGCAAGAACGUACAUCGGGGCGUUAGUACUGGUCGGCGACUGGCCGUUAGGAGCAGGAAGCCCAGUGGCUGAGCGGCUCCCAUCGCCUCCUCGUAGAAGAGUGGAAGAGAGUGUGGCGACAUUGUCCAGAUGGCUCAGAGCUCCUGCCUGCAACUGGGGACCUACGAUGGCCAUUGCCGGCGGCCGCUGAAGCUUGGAAAUUGAAGUUCCUCCACCUACCCGAAUGACUGGAUGCUGGUUUGGGAAACCGCCUGGAAAGGCGACACCUGGCGGAGGCCGUGCUGGGGCUACACUCGCCCACGAGGCCACGGAGAACAGACAGCCAAAAACUAGAUUACUUGCGACAACAAACGCGACAACAAACCAAAGCCGCAGCGGCGGUGUGGCCUUACGAUGCGAACUCGUGGAAACUUGACCAAUCGAUUCAUAUUCGCUGCUUUCAAACAUCUUGUUCGACAGCCUCCAAGUCUCUGCAGUUGUCACAUCAAUGCGAAGACCGUUGAAGGCAUGGGAAAAUCAAUGAAUCACCCACAAACCACUUUAUGUAGGGAUGCAACGCAGGCGAAGGGGCGAGGAACGGAAAAUGGGCUCGGUUUGCAGGCGACAUCAUCGAAACGAAAGGUUGGAGGCGAGAAUGCUCGCCUUCCGGCGGAAAUGGGUGACGACAAACCCGAACUCAGGAAGCAACUUUGAAGCAUCGAUGUUUGAUUUUUAGUCGAGUCCAGCACCAUUUUCCCUUGGUCGUAUUUUUGCUAAUAAGCAAGAAUGGAUUUCCACAGCUGCGUACAAACGGUGACGUCUGUAAGCAAGCGUUCCUGUUGGUGACGGUCCACACUAAGCGCGCGAGGCAUCGAAGAGAUGCUGGAACCAGAACAAAGUUAAGUCGUUCGAGUCAAAUGCUUUCCAGCUUCGAUCCUAGAAACACGUGAUCUGUGGGACUUGAUCAUAAGGUGUAAACGUGUGGACGUUUUCGAAGCACUCUGCCUGGAAGGUUCCAGUAGCCGUGGAAUGCUGACACAUGAACCGAAGGAGUAGCUUUGAUAAACGCAGCCAACGCUGAUUGAAUCCG